UUCGGGGAUUCUGAACCGGUCGCCUCCACAUCAAUGGGAGCAAGGAAGAAGGUGAAGCUUUCCUCCUAUUUAAACUUCGCUUCUCAUCAAGUUAUGAAUUCACAAUUGGACUAGAGUACACCGUUAACCGAGUCUUCUCCGCCGGUGUCGAAUCCCAAUAAAGAUGUAAUGGAGAUGUUGCAUCAUAUUUUUAAUAAACAGUGUGACCUAGAGGCCCGGAUGGACAAGAUAGAAGAGAAUAUGAUCCAAAAACCUGACAUGUUGACACACCAUAAAGCCGUUAGGAAGACUAAAGUUCUCAACAAGAAGGUGCAUCAAAUAAUUUGCAAAAUAAGUGGAGAGACUGGAGAGGAUCUCCAUAAUGAGCUCAACGACAUCCUGCCUAUGAUGUCCAUUGACGCAGUCUUUGACAUGGAGGAGAAGCUCCAUGAUACAACCUACCAGGACGCGGUUGUAAGUAUUCUUUUAUCUGUAUAUUAUAUCAAAUAAAACACCUCUUUGAGGUAGAAUU